AGACACAGGGAUUGCCUUAGUAACGGCGAGUGAAGCGGCAACAGCUCAAAUUUGAAAGCUGGCCCUUUUAGGGUCCGCGUUGUAAUUUGUAGAGGAUGAUUCGGCGAGGGCUCCUGCCUAAGUCCCCUGGAACGGGGCGUCAUAGAGGGUGAGAAUCCCGUAUGCGGUAGGUUGCCUUAGCCAUGUGAAUCUCCUUCGACGAGUCGAGUUGUUUGGGAAUGCAGCUCUAAAUGGGAGGUAAAUUUCUUCUAAAGCUAAAUACUGGCCAGAGACCGAUAGCGCACAAGUAGAGUGAUCGAAAGAUGAAAAGCACUUUGGAAAGAGAGUUAAAAAGUACGUGAAAUUGUUGAAAGGGAAGCGCUUGCAACCAGACUUGUCCGCAGUUGCUCAGCCGGUCUCCUGACCGGCGUACUCUUCUGCGGCCAGGCCAGCAUCAGUUCGGGCGGUCGGAUAAAGGCCUCGGGAAUGUAGCUCCUCUCGGGGAGUGUUAUAGCCCGGGGUGGAAUGCGACCAGCCUGGACUGAGGAUCUCGCUUCGGCAAGGAUGCUGGCGUAAUGGUUGUAAGCGGCCCGUCUUGAAACACGGACCAAGGAGUCUAACAUCUAUGCGAGUGUUCGGGUGUCAAACCCGUACGCGUAAUGAAAGUGAACGGAGGUGGGAACCCGCAAGGGUGCACCAUCGGCCGAUCCUGAUGUCUUCGGAUGGAUUUGAGCAAGAGCAUAGCUGUUGGGACCCGAAAGAUGGUGAACUAUGCCUGAAUAGGGUGAAGCCAGAGGAAACUCUGGUGGAGGCUCGCAGCGGUUCUGACGUGCAAAUCGAUCGUCAAAUUUGGGUAUAGGGCGAAAG
rnacentral:rRNA from 1 species